AAGGGAAUCGGAACACAGGUGCUGCAUGGCUGUCGUCAGCUCGUGUCGUGAGAUGUUGGGUUAAGUCCCGCAACGAGCGCAACCCUUAUCAUUAGUUGCUACGCAAGGGCACUCUAAUGAGACUGCCGGUGACAAACCGGAGGAAGGUGGGGAUGACGUCAAGUCCUCAUGGCCCUUAUGGGUAGGGCUUCACACGUCAUACAAUGGUCGGUACAGAGGGUUGCCAAGCCGCGAGGCGGAGCCAAUCCCACAAAACCGAUCGUAGUCCGGAUCGCAGUCUGCAACUCGACUGCGUGAAGUCGGAAUCGCUAGUAAUCGUGAAUCAGAAUGUCACGGUGAAUACGUUCCCGGGCCUU
rnacentral:rRNA from 1 species